AAAGCUUUUCCCAAUUUGAACAUUCUAAAAGAAAUGAGAAGUGUAACAAUCUUACAAAGAGGAAUAUAAAUAAUACAGAGGACAAUCCACCACACGACAUUGUUAUCGUAGAGAAAGUGUUUACGCCUUAAUCAAAACAAAGGAGGUGAGGAUCCUCACAUGCUGCGGGCAAGUCAGGAAGUUGUCCGAAUAAUGACACUGCAGCUAAUUGGCUGUAAGUACUAGCUCUUUUGCCUCCUGAUGUGUAUGCUCUUGGUCAGUCAGACAAAAGGUCGCAUCGAUUGUAAUACUGAACGUUAGGUUCCAGAGUUUUUAAGAAAACAUGCGAAGGAAGUUGUUG
rnacentral:misc_RNA from 1 species